AAUAUGCACAUAGUAAGCUUACUGUACGAUACGAAUAUCGAUAGCGUUGACAACUGCCACGUAUGACCGGUUGCCAUCGCUGGUCAAGUUCUGUUUCGUAAAACGUUCUUUUUCACCAAGCCAACAGCCGAUAUAGUCGUGCUUAAAGAAAGUGUGUUAAAAGUUAAAAAAGUGUGAAGUAUUGAUUCACGUGUAACCGUCGGUUGGUGCGCAGCAAUAAUUGAUUCUCAUCAGUGACGAAUCCCAAUAAACAACUUUCAGAUUGCGGAUUUCGGGGCACAGAUUGUGCCCCACGUAUAGACUUUUAAGGAGUUAAGAAGGUUCAGGAGAGAGAAGUUCGAGUGAUAACCUAAAACAUCUAAAGCGUCCCGAGAAGCACCCCUCAGGGUGAACUCCUAGGAGGGGUUCUUCAGCCCGUAAAGAUGGAAACUUAGCACGGAUGCGUUGCUACGAAUUUGAUGCGGCGGAUAGAUCGCGUCUCAGCAAGAAGCACCCCAGCAGGAUGUAUUGCUUUCAUGUCAUAGUUUUUUUGUUGCUGAGAUGACCAAUGUCUUGGACUGCGAGCCGUGUCAGCUCCAACCUCAAUUUCAUAUAUUUUCGGCAAAAUAAAUGAAGUAUUAAUGCAUAAAUGUUUAUUUUUGAGUAAAUUUAUAGAAUAAUUGUU